UUUUAUCAUCUUCAAUUGGCCCUCUCUCCACCUUCUUUCUCCAUAGCCAUGCUCCCCAUGGCGGCUAGCAUAGCUACUUGCUCCUUGAGCACUCCUAUACUCUCCUCUUUUUUCUUCUUCUCUCCACCAACUCUCUUUCUUUUCUUCUCUUCUCUUUUCUUCUCUUUUCUUUUCUUCUCUUUUCCUUUCUUCUCGAUCCUCCACUU
rnacentral:lncRNA from 1 species